rnacentral:lncRNA from 1 species
UUUGUAAGAAGUGUUAAUAAUUUAAUUUAUUUAUGCAUCGAGAUUUUGGGCACUAUUAAUAUGGAAUUAUAUAAAACCUCGAUUAUUUAUAUCGAAAUCCGGACAUAGGGAUUUUGUGUUGGCUUUGGAACAAAAGGCUAUUUUAUUUUAUUUUUUUUCCCGUUCUGAGGAUAGUCUAAAGAAAAAAAAAACGCACCUACCUAUCACUUAGCGGAGGGGACUAAGUGGAGCCGGUGAUGACUCAUUAGCUUAGGAAACCCUAUUAAGCUGAAAAGCGGUAGCUUCCAUCUGUCCCAGGUGAAGUUAAUGUCAGCUGUAAUUUAUUCACCGUAGUAAUAAGGGCUCCUUUCAGGCGACACACACACUUUAUUUCGUCCUCACCUUCUCCUGCCGACGAGCUUAGCGCACCGAAACAGCACCCGCACCCUCUCCUUUCGCCACCGACUCUAGAGAAAGCGCCUUAUGUUUCAUAAUAAAGAAGAUUUGGGGUUGACACAGACCAUGUAUAAUACUUUGUACUUGCCGAGACGUGUAAAUAAACGUUUUCUUUAAAAACGCCUCUCCGCUCCCUGCGUGCCUCGGGGCGCCGCCGCCGCACCGGGACCGGGACGGGGACGGGGACGGGGACCGGAGCCGGGCUGGAAACGGCGGGGCCGAGCCGGAGCAUGUUCUAAUAAGAAACUAAAUCACGAAGACAAAAAGCUUCUGGCAUCUCCAUCUCGUUGGCUCCUACCUCCAUCUAUGGCAUGUUUACAAGAAAACAUUUAUCGCCGGAGCGCUUGCUGGCAAUAAGGGAGGAGAUGAGAGCAACAGCUUUUAAGCGGCGGCCUCCACGCUCAGCCACGGGAGGAAACCCAGGGUAGCCCCCAAAAUUACUGCCUGGCCACAGUGAGCCCGGAGUGAGGCUGAGAAGCAGAGCAGUGAGUCGCCUUGGAGGAGCUGGGCUCGCUGGCGGUGAGUUUACAAGUGGUUUGUGCAAGGACAGAGCAGAAAGGAGUGUGCUUGUGAGCCUUGCAAGGGCAUUGCGCCCACAGCAGCGUGGGUGGUGGAGGCGUCAUCCCAAAACACAAACUUGGAUUGCAGCUGACCCCUUCCGAGGGUGAAGGAAAGGGAAAAAAUCAUUUGGGAGCG